AUGAAGGCAGGUCGUUCUGGUUCCCUGAGGCAUAGAAGCCCCCUCCCCACCAGCCCCCCCGCCCUCCGCUGGCUUCCCUGUAGCAGAAAGUUGCUCCAUGCUCGGACAGACACGUCGCCGCGAGAAAAUGCCACCACCCAGACCCGGGGACAAAACGGGGAGUGCUUCGGCGCAAGUGGACUUUCCAAAUCCACCCCUCUGCCUGCAGAGGAGACACAAAGCCGACCCGCGCCCCAAGCACUGCUGAGGACCGGGACUGCAUCCCGAGCUCUCAACUCCCCCUUGGGGCAGGCACGACCCCCGCGGGUCACAGGAAACAGGCUGGCAGGACAGGCGGAGGCACCUGCCCAAGGUCAGGCACAGCCAGCGAGCAGUGGGGCCGGGGCUCGAACCCGGGUUCGGGGCCACGAUGGCCACUGGGCAUCCCGAAGCAGCGCCACGGGCGGCGCCGCAAGCUCAAGCAGGGUCUCCAAACCCUCCGGGACCCCACCCAGAGCCGAAGCCCCUCCGGGAGGCGGCGGCCGCGUUACCUGGUUCCGUUGCGGCUGGCGAUGGCUCCGCACCGGGUUUGCCUUGAUCCCACGCCCGCACCGGCUGCGCUCCGGGCAGGGAUGGAGCAGGCGGCGCGCGCACGGCCUGCGCCCCGCGCCUCGCACCCACUUCCUCGUCUCCGCCCCCAACUCGCUCCUCCUUGCUCUCAACGCUCCUUCCCUUCCUUCCCUCUCCAAGUCUCCUGUCUCUCUCUCUCUCUCUCUCUCUCUCUCUCUCUCUCUCUCUCUCUCUCUCUCUCUCAGCGCGCACACACCCACAUUUUCUCCCCCAGCCUACACCUCCACAGUCUCACCCACUUUCUGUUUUCCUUUCUCCUACACCCUCCCUCUUCAUCUCGCGGACUCUGAUACUUGCCCCUUCCUCUUCCUUUCUGUCACACUGCCCCCUUUUUCUCUCCCCUUUCCCCCUGGCUCCUUCCCUCUCCCCGCCCUGCUGAUUGGUCAAGGGCCCGCCCUUGACCGGGCAACCGUUCUGUCUGAGCCCCAGCGUCCACCUGUGCAGAUAUUGGCUGAGUGGCCACAGCUGGAGGACCUGCCCUGGGUGGGCGCUAGAUCCAGGAGGUCAGGUGGCAUCCCUCACAUUGGGCACUUAGGAUCCAGGUGGAGUCAGGCUAGAAGGGGGAAAUAA
rnacentral:lncRNA from 1 species